rnacentral:rRNA from 1 species
GACGAACGCUGGCGGCGUGCCUAACACAUGCAAGUUGAGCGACGAACCAGGGCUUGCCCUGGGGCAAAGCAGCGAACGGGUGAGUAACACGUGGGUAACCUACCCCGAUAACCGGGACAACCCGAGGAAACUCGGGCUAAUACCGGAUGUGCUCACUGGACUUCGGUUCAGUGCGUAAAGGAAGCUUCGGCCUCCGUAUCGGGAGGGGCCCGCGGCCCAUUAGUUUGUUGGUGAGGUAACGGCUCACCAAGACCGCGAUGGGUAGCUGGUCUGAGAGGACGAUCAGCCACACUGGGACUGAGACACGGCCCAGACUCCUACGGGAGGCAGCAGUGGGGAAUCUUGCGCGAUGCGCGAAAGCGUGACGCAGCAACGCCGCGUGGGGGAAGAAGGCCUUCGGGUUGUAAACCCCUUUCAGGAGGGACGAAGGUUAGGCGGUGAAUAGCCGUCCGGACUGACGGUACCUCCACAAGAAGCCCCGGCUAACUACGUG